CCCCAUGUUCCCCUUUUAGCUUUUUGUUUGUUUGUUAAACAAAUGGUAGGUAGCAGGAUAGACUGCUUCAGAAUUCCUGAUCAUUUACUGCAGAUCUUUUAAUACCUUUGGACGAAAGCUUUUGUUAGAGUUUAGGUGAACUCUUAUCCUUAAGGAUUUGUGAUCUAAUGAGAAAACUAAGUAGAUGUGGCUCUUUUGCCCAGAAUGGUUCCCAGGAUGAGGGUAACAGAUUUUGUUUUAUUAUACGGAUCUUUUUUUGAGUCAGAGAAUUGUUGCCUUCUAUUUUGGUGUGGCUUCUUUUCAUUUCAUAUGCUGUGUCUCUCUCCAGCUCUCCUACAAAUUAAGUCUCUUGGGUUUUCUGAUCAAACAUUCUUCAAGGGGACAAAUACUUGUUUCUUUACUAUUCUGAAGUUCACUCACUCGUUCUUAAGGUAAUACUUCUUGAAUUGUAUAUAGAUGUAUAUAAUGAAGAUUAUAGAUGCAUAUAAUGAAGAAAUCUGACCAUCAGGCCAGAUAAACAUGUACAACCCAAGCUGAUUUCAUGUGGGCUGCAAAUCCCAUGAAUUCGUUUUUGGAGGCCUAAUAAAUGCUCCUCUUUUUUUUCUCUGCAAAUAUGGUAACUAUAGUAACUGCGCAUUCUCAGAAAAUCCACUUAAAAACCUGACUUCCUAGAGCUGUAUUUCAGCUUCGAGUAGUGAAUUUUACCACCCUGGUGCAUAGACUUGUACUAGAAAAUUGAUUCGGCACUGUGGCGAUCCAUUGCUCCGAGUUACAUAGCAAAUCUGCCUGCUGCACCAUUUAAAUUGACCCCAUCACUGUCAUAAAAUUUGAUACUGCAUGCACUGCCCUAGGAAAAAAAGGCAAUAUGAUGCAGCUUCAAAAAUGAGAUUCAGAGGAUUAGAAUGUCAUUUUUGAUUUUAAAUGACUUCCACUCUCUGUGUGCCCAAGUAUUGUUUGCUCCUCAGGCCUGUGUCACUACCGCACUGCC
rnacentral:lncRNA from 1 species